rnacentral:rRNA from 1 species
CUCAUUAAAUCAGUUAUAGUUUAUUUGAUAGUCUCUUUUGUUUCUCUUUUUUACCUACUUGGAUAACCGUGGUAAUUCUAGAGCUAAUACAUGCGUAAGGUCCCGAGCGCGGGGGAUGGGGCUUCACGGCUCUGUCCUCGCAUGCGCAGAGGGAUGUAUUUAUUAGGUUGAAAACCAGCGUAGCCAGCAAUGGCUACAAUCUCCUGGUGAUUCAUAGUAACUUUUUCGGAUCGCAUUCAUG